CCCUUAGAUGUUCUGGGCCGCACGCGCGCUACACUGAUGCAUUCAACGAGUCUAAAACCUGGUCUGAUAGGGCUGGGUAAUCUUUUGAAUGUGCAUCGUGAUUGGGAUAGAUGAUUGCAAUUUUUCAUCUUCAACGAGGAAUGCCUAGUAAACGCAAGUCAUCAGCUUGCAUUGAUUACGUCCCUGCCCUUUGUACACACCGCCCGUCGCUCCUACCGAUUGAAUGAUCCGAUGAAUAUCAUGGAUUGAGGAUGCAAGUAGGUUAGCCUAUCUUCAUCUUCGAGAAGUGAAGUAAAUCUUAUCAUUUAGAGGAAGGAGAAGUCGUAACA
rnacentral:rRNA from 1 species